ACUCACGGCUACGUCACUUCCGGUUUCCUUUCCUCCAGGUUUUUCUCAUCUUUUAGUCCGGACAAAUGGGGUGCUGGUAUGAACUGGUUUUUGGUGAAAUUCGGCUCGGUCUCACCCGAGCCUAUCUAGGUCCGUCUCUGGAGUAGCCUGUCAUCGAUCGCGCCCUCCAUCGCUCAGCGACACAAGUGGAGGCCCCAGGACUGCAGUCUGCGAAACUACCCUGCCUUUCCCCCAGUUUUGUUCUGUGAACGCGUUUGGGAAAUUAUCCUGAUGAUACCUCUACUCUCUUGAGGACCCUGAGCUUCUGGAAGAUGAAGAAACAGCUCAGAUUUGACCAAGAUCACAUAAGUAGGAGUUGAGGAAUUGGAACCCACUAUGACUGACUCCAAAUUAAUAUAGUGUUUAUAGCCACUUA